rnacentral:rRNA from 1 species
ACGGGAGGCAGCAGUGGGGGAUAUUGCACAAUGGGGGAAACCCUGAUGCAGCGACGCCGCGUGAGUGAUGAAGUAUUUCGGUAUGUAAAGCUCUAUCAGCAGGGAAGAAAAUGACGGUACCUGACUAAGAAGCUCCGGCUAAAUACGUGCCAGCAGCCGCGGUAAUACGUAUGGAGCAAGCGUUAUCCGGAUUUACUGGGUGUAAAGGGAGCGUAGACGGUUUGCCAAGUCUGAUGUGAAAGGUGGGGGCUCAACCCCCAAACUGCAUUGGAAACUGGCAGACUAGAGUGUCGGAGAGGUAAGUGGAAUUCCUAGUGUAGCGGUGAAAUGCGUAGAUAUCAGGAGGAACACCGGUGGCGAAGGCGGCUUACUGGGCUUUUACUGACGCUGAGGCUCGAAAGCGUGGGGAGCAAACAGGAUUAGAUACCCUGGUA